ACCCUUCGGGGGGAAGUCGAUGGAAUGAGCGGCGGACGGGUGAGUAACACGUAAAGAACCUGCCCUCAGGUCUGGGAUAACCACGAGAAAUCGGGGCUAAUACCGGAUGGGUCAUCGGACCGCAUGGUCCGAGGAUGAAAGGCGCUUCGGCGUCGCCUGGGGAUGGCUUUGCGGUGCAUUAGCUAGUUGGUGGGGUAAUGGCCCACCAAGGCGACGAUGCAUAGCCGACCUGAGAGGGUGAUCGGCCACACUGGGACUGAGACACGGCCCAGACUCCUACGGGAGGCAGCAGUAGGGAAUCUUCCACAAUGGACGAAAGUCUGAUGGAGCAACGCCGCGUGAACGAUGAAGGCCUUCGGGUCGUAAAGUUCUGUUGUAAGGGAAGAACAAGUGCCGCAGGCAAUGGCGGCACCUUGACGGUACCUUGCGAGAAAGCCACGGCUAACUACGUGCCAGCAGCCGCGGUAAUACGUAGGUGGCAAGCGUUGUCCGGAAUUAUUGGGCGUAAAGCGCGCGCAGGCGGCC
rnacentral:rRNA from 1 species